UGUAGCUCAGUGGUAGAGUGCUUGCCUAACAUGCAAGAGGUCCUGGGUUCAAUCCCCAAUA
rnacentral:tRNA from 1 species